UGUCACGGGUGACCGGACGGGUGUGCAGAGCAGGCGGGGUUGGUGAGGCUUGAGGAGUGGUAAAAGCAAGACUUGCAGGCAAGAUUCGGGACGAACAGGGUUUAAUCACGGGAUCAGGACAGGAAACAGGACUUGGGAACAGAUCUCACCAACACAGACAGGUCUCACGUAACACCAUCAAUGACAGACACCGGGUUAGUACAAAUCAGGAACUUAAAUACAUGGAACAAGGCAGCAGGAAACAAGACACGACCGGGUACGAUCAGGUAAUCACACGUGGGUAAUUAGGGGGGCGUGGCACACACGAGGAGCGGACAGGCAGGUGCUCUCAGUUAGCUGGAUUAAUUUAAAUUGGGGAGAGGGGGGAAUUCCACGAAGCAGGUGUUCUCAGUUAGUUGGAUUUACUUAAUAUGUGCAUGUGUACAGCAGAGGAAUAUGCGUGUGUGCAGCACAGGAGUAUCUUCAUGUUGUUCAAAUUUUAUAUUCGUUACUAGAACAGCCAGAAUCAGAGAGAAAAAAUACAUUUCUAUUCGCCACAUGCUGUAUUAGUGUUACUGCACUAGCUAGGAUCUUAAUCAUUCAGGAGUUGGCUUAAACCAUUACAGACCUGUUACAUCAGUAAAAAAAAUACAAAUUUAUGUUUUCAUAGGUAUUCAAGAUAAUUUCAUUAAUCGUCUCGCCUGUGAUAAGCAACAAAAUGCCGACUACAGGUCACUCAGAUAUCCAAAAUGAUCUAAGUUACAGGUUAUUUAGUUAUAGGCCCGCCUCACCUCCGAUGGAUCAGUCAACAGUAGGUUUUCAGCACGUGCAAUGCGCGUCCACGCGAAUCAACUCGGGGCCAGAAUAAUAAAAUAAGGUGGUGUGGGGACAGUAUGAUCGGCGCACCCUGAAUGGCAAGGCCUUUUCAGCUAACCAUCUUCUAAACACGGGGACCAGCAGCUCCUUAAACAAGAAAACAAACGUUAACAGUAUAACAGGCUCCACCUUGUUUUAAACUUUUGCUGCGCAACAUCUUCAUGGCGCCAGGGAGGAUAAGUGGCUGGUAUGCGGGGAAUUACUUUUAACACUUCGGAUGCAAAGCCAGGGAUGGAAUUAAUCGGAAAAACUACUAUCAAAACAAGGCAUAUUGGAAACUACCAGGCUGCAGACGUGAAAACCUGCCUUUGCCAUACCGGGAGCGGAACCCGGCCUGCCAGGCUACAGGGAUGUCUACUUUCGUCAGCUGGCUGACAUGCAAUUUUCAUUGCGGAUAAAUCUGCACAAUGCUUUACAUGCAUGUAAGAGUUUUAUUACCUUGUAAACAGUCCGUUGGGUUUGAAUACUGCCCCAGUGCUUUUGAUGUAGCUAAUUUGGGGCUUAAAGUGGAAGAAUAUAUAUUUACCAUAACACUUCUUGCAACAGCAUGAAAGUCGGAAAGCGUGAGUGUCACGCCAAAUGUGUGCAAGGUCGCCACCCUGUGGAUGAAUCGGGAAUUGCUGGACCGUACGGAAGCUCCGCACCUCUAAACACGUGACCCAAAGAGGAAACAAUAGAAACGCCUUAUUGCGCCUCCGGUCGGACGAUCUUCGGCUUUAAGUCAAACAAUCGUUUCACCUGUAACGGCUCACCAUUGGCCUGCACCGCUGAAAUGUUUCAGGACUGUCCCGCGCGCGAUAGGGGUGAUAGGCACAUUAAUGCUUCAAAUCAAUUUGCAUCCAAUGGGGCAAUUUAGACAGGGUCUCUGCGAUGAACGCAGGACCGUUGUCUGUGGUGAUUUUAGAUGGAAUGCCCCAUCGCAGAAUCACCUCCUUUAGCAGACAUUUAGCCACGCUCAGAGCAUCAGGGCGACGGCAAGAGAAUGCCUCCACCCAUCUGGAAAACAGAUCUACAAUCACCAAGCAAUACUUAUAUCCCCUGCACGGCGUCAGCUCAAUGAAAUCCAUCUGAAGGUGAUCGAAUGGGCUUUGGGGACUCGGGGUCACUGCAGGGUCGGUUGGAGUGCCCUUUCCCACACUGAAUUUCAUGCACACCAUACACUUACCGGAGAAUUGGGCAGCAGCUGCGGCAAACCCAGGGGCAUGCCACACCCGAGUCAGCUGCCACCAUCCCGACACGAGACACAUGAUCCAGGCUGUGAGGGACCAAGCAGUAACGUAAUUAAAGAAACAGAGCUUUAUUGACCCCCGAAAUGCAAACAAUAACAAACUCAAAACCUCAAUAACUGGGCCCAUAAAAGAGGCCAACAAAAACAAACAUGGCAUAAUUUUACAAAGCAAAACAGUAACUGAAGCAAACUGACCUUUCUAAUAUGGUAACAUGAGGGAACAUAUAUAGCGGUUUGGCCAAACCAAUUAACACACAAAAGGGAUAAAACAAAUAAGCACUACAUACAACUAAACAAAGCAAAACACAGCUAAACCCCAACCCCCCCCUCUUGCCAUGGCAGCACAUGGUUCGCUCCUACUCCAGGGGUUGUCUUUUGAGACACCUCCGCCCUCAGCCACACCUUUACGCUGAAUAAAAGACCAUCCCCUACAAACAAAGUAACUACAAACCAAAGAGAUUAAACAAUCACUGCACACAACCCUACAAUAUCAAAAUAUAUAUACACACACGCACUACACCUAACACCAAAGACAAAACACAACUAAAACCUAUGAAUUACUACUGUAAAGCAAUUUAAUUAGAAAAUGCAUACAAAUACUGAACUAAGUUCUUACUGUGUGGCUGUAGCCAUCACAAGGCCAUGAACGGCUUUCUCCAUCCCUGGAUACACAGAUCUCUUCAUCCGCGUAGCUCACCCUCCGUUGCACCUGUUUGAAUCAAAAGGAAGGUGGGCGGAGUCAAGGAAGAGGCGGUCAUCCUGGCCAGGAGUCAUGGCAACGAGGAGGGUAGGCGGAGUCAUGACAGAGGCGCUCACCCUGGCCAGGAGCCAUGGCAACGAGGAGGACAACAAAUACACAGAAAAUGUAUCACUGCACAAACAAGCUCUCUCAAAGAUGAUAUCCUUUGAUAGAAUGUACAGGGGCUCACAGUUCUUCAUUUCAUGCUUUAACUUUUGAAGUUACCAAAAAUACCAGUGACUCACAUGUAUGACAGGAAACCAAGCAAGAUAAAGAACUUUUAAAAAUCCGCUUUGGCUGCACCUGCAGUUCAUUUAAGAACAAUGAGACAUCGACAGUAAACAGUGACGGAUUUUGAUGCCUUACUGUCAGAAGCCCGUCUUCUGUUGGUCUUGCUGUGGUUCAUCAAUGUCCCUCUGUGUCUUUGAUGUAUGCUGGAAUUAGAUAAUCUGACUCAUACAUCUGCCAUCCCAGCACUGCUGAGUGCUGGUUUUGAAUGUGGCCAUAACUGUGUCUGUGUGCAGUUUGCAGGCUUUCUCUGUUCACAUGGCAUUUCUCCACCUUCCAGUGCCCUGCAAUGGACUGACGUGCUGUUGAAGGUUUACCUCACUUUACACUGUGUGCUUCCUGCAUUAGGGUCUAGAAUCUGUCUUGAUCCGAUCUAGAUUCUACAUAAUUAUUCUAAUGAACAGAUGAAUCUUUGACGCAACAGAGGGAUCAAAUAAAUAUACUUUUCAUAUAAGCAAAAACAUAGUAUAAAUACACAUCAACACUAAUUCAUGCAUCAUCUGUAUUCAUGCUGAUAUUUUAAUUUCAUUAAUAUCUAUCUUCCAAUAGUUUAUUUUCUGCUCAAUAGACAAAUAAUAAUAGAAUGACAUGCUGAAUAAUAUGAUAAUUAUUAUUUUUUGAUAUUAUUAAUGAUAAACUUUCAGCCUUGUGGUUUUGUCACUUCCUGUGUAAAGUGUCCACUCCCCCUUCACUCUGCCUGCUGUGUGUGAGAAUAGAAACGACAGAGACAGUGAAGGUACAGAGGAUGAGGAAGUUAGUGUCAG